AUUGAACGCUGGCGGCAGGCCUAACACAUGCAAGUCGAGCGGAUGAAGGGAGCUUGCUCCUGGAUUCAGCGGCGGACGGGUGAGUAAUGCCUAGGAAUCUGCCUGGUAGUGGGGGAUAACGUCCGGAAACGGGCGCUAAUACCGCAUACGUCCUGAGGGAGAAAGUGGGGGAUCUUCGGACCUCACGCUAUCAGAUGAGCCUAGGUCGGAUUAGCUAGUUGGUUGGGUAAAGGCCUACCAAGGCGACGAUCCGUAACUGGUCUGAGAGGAUGAUCAGUCACACUGGAAAUGAGACACGGUCCAGACUCCUACGGGAGGCAGCAGUGGGGAAUAUUGGACAAAGGGAGAAAGCCUGAUCCAGCCAUGCCGCGUGUGUGAAGAAGGUCUUCGGAUUGUAAAGCACUUUAAGUUGGGAGGAAGGGCAGUAAGUUAAUACCUUGAUGUUUUGACGUUACCAACAGAAUAAGCACCGGCUAACUUCGUG
rnacentral:rRNA from 1 species